CAGAGGAUGCUCGGCUGGGAUAACCCAGUUCCCCCCUUCCCCAGCUGGGAUCCCCUGAUGCUAACCAUCCUGCCAUUCCCUGGGCUCGGUUUGGGGCUCAGCUCUGCCAUUCCUCAGCCUCUAGCCUGCCUCAGUUUCCCUGCUGGCAGCGACCUCAGAGCAUCCUCUGGGAUGUUCUGGAUCAUUCCACCUUGCUGCCAGUCUCUUGCAGCCAGCUCUCACACAGGCCCCGUGGCAGCUGGGAAAUUCCUGCAAUUUCUGGAUAUUUUGACGGCAUCCCCACACACCUGCUGGGUGAUUUUCUCCCACACAGCCUUAAUGGGAGAUUUAGAAAUGCUGAGGGCUUUGUGUUGGCCAAACUCGAGCUGAAAGGUGUCCUUUUUCCACCAGGCAGCCCCAUAAAGGGAAUUGUCAUUGCAGGCAGAAGCUGAGCUUUCUCUGACACUGGGAGUCCAGCAGCGAGGUUAUUCACAGCUCCUUCCUCACGCCCUGACAUGCACCACCACGCCUGCUGAGGCUUUGAAGAUGAUGAAAUGCCAAGAGAUGCAGGCUUUGGGAAGAACCAAAGGUGCAUUGCUCCGUUCAGGUGCAGGUGGGACAACAAUGACAACAACAGUUUCACAGCUAAACCACCAAAUCAGUGCCACAGCACGACUUCCAGAUGUGGUGAAGGAGAAGUUUUUGAGCCCUGGCACAGCACUGGUGCAAUUCACUCAGCCCUAAGCACCAGAAUUUCAUCCCUCUGAUUUGGAAAGUAGUGAAAGCCCCUUUUCCUGAGAAAUCCUACAGAGAGAAGUUUUCAGGAGAAUGAAGUAAAACAAUCAAUAAAAAA